UGUCCAGACUCCUACGGGAGGCAGCAGUGAGGAAUAUUGGUCAAUGGGCGCGAGCCUGAACCAGCCAAGUAGCGUGAAGGAUGACUGCCCUACGGGUUGUAAACUUCUUUUAUAAAGGAAUAAAGUGAGGCACGUGUGCCUUUUUGUAUGUACUUUAUGAAUAAGGAUCGGCUAACUCCGUGCCAGCAGCCGCGGUAAUACGGAGGAUCCGAGCGUUAUCCGGAUUUAUUGGGUUUAAAGGGAGCGUAGAUGGGUUGUUAAGUCAGUUGUGAAAGUUUGCGGCUCAACCGUAAAAUUGCAAUUGAUACUGGCAGCCUUGAGUACAGUUGAGGUAGGCGGAAUUCGUGGUGUAGCGGUGAAAUGCGUAGAUAUCAGGAGGAACACCGGCGGCGAAGGCGGCUUACUGGACUGUAACUGACGUUGAGGCUCGAAGGCGUGGGGAGCAAACAGGAUUAGAUACCCUCGUAC
rnacentral:rRNA from 1 species